GAGGGUAUAGCCCAGUGGUUAGAGUGCAUGCUUACCAUGUGCAAGGUGCUGGGUUCAAUCCCCAGUACCUCCA
rnacentral:tRNA from 1 species